AUAAAAAAUCCACUUAUUUUGGGCUUUUGCAAAACCGGGUCACCUUUUUCGUUUUUGCAGAUUCGGUCCGCUUUUUCAGCAAACUGACCAAAAUACCCUUAUUACUUUUUCUCUUUCCUCUUUCUCUCUCCUCUUCGUUUCUGUCGUUCUUUUUUUUUUUUUCUCGCCGAAAAAAAAAAGGCGGACCGUCGCCUUCUUCUUCACCGUCGCCUCCCUCCUCACCAUCCUUCUUCACCGUCGCCCCCCUCCUCACCCUCCUCUCCACCGCCCGCGACCCCCUCCUCCUCUCCUCCGCCGCCGCGGACCCCCAGCCCGAUCCCGUCGCCGC
rnacentral:lncRNA from 1 species